rnacentral:rRNA from 1 species
AUUGAACGCUGGCGGCAGGCCUAACACAUGCAAGUCGAGCGGAUGAAGGGAGCUUGCUCCUGGAUUCAGCGGCGGACGGGUGAGUAAUGCCUAGGAAUCUGCCUGGUAGUGGGGGAUAACGUCCGGAAACGGGCGCUAAUACCGCAUACGUCCUGAGGGAGAAAGUGGGGGAUCUUCGGACCUCACGCUAUCAGAUGAGCCUACGUCGGAUUAGCUAGUUGGUGGGGUAAAGGCCUACCAAGGCGACGAUCCGUAACUGGUCUGAGAGGAUGAUCAGUCACACUGGAACUGAAACACGGUCCAGACUCCUACGGGAGGCAGCAGUGGGGAAUAUUGGACGAUGGGCGAAAGCCUGAUCCAGCCAUGCCGCGUGUGUGAAGAAGGUCUUCGGAUUGUAAAGCACUUUAAGUUGGGAGGAAGGGCAGUAAGUUGAUACCUUGCUGUUUUGACGGUACCAACAGAAUAAGCACCGGCUAACUACGUG